UUGCUUUUUACAAUUUCACCUUGUCAUACUCAUACACCUUGAGCGGGGUCGUCUAGAAAAUGUUUGGAUCCAGUUGGCAGCACGGUCAAUUGGCAUCAGUUGGACAUUUUGCACAUUUACUAUACGCAAUUUGUAAUUUGUUUGAAACUUUAAGUUGCAUUUAAUGAAACGAAUGAACAGGGUACAGAAGUAUAGCAAAGGCAUUUUUACUGGCAAAAGUAUCCCUUUGUGUGGAUUGAGAAAAAUACAUAAGCAGUUUUUAAAAUAGUUGCCGUAUUCCAAAUCGUGGUGCAUUUUUGUGUGUGAUGGAUAAAGAGACGCAGUUUUCGUGAAGUUGUAUGCAUUAAGCAAUCAUAACAGGAAAAACGAAAAACUACAACAUAGUCACAGUUUGAAAAAAGGGUGGAGCUGAUAGAAAGGAACAAAGCUAUCAUACAUGAAAAGGAACCUCAACUUUUUGGAAUGAUAUUGCCAAAGAUCUGAAUCUCUUAGGACCCCCGACUAAAGACGGUUCUGGGUGGAAAAAGG